AAGUUUCUGUAAAUUUACACCCAGAUUCCAACAUUAUUCACCUGUUUCCUUCAAUAAACAGGACUUUCCAGUCAUUAGUAAGACAAAUGUGUAAAAUCAGGCUCCAACACUGUUAUUUACCAUGCCCGUAAUGUUUAUUCUGGAACACACGUACUUCCUGUUAUCUAUUAACGUUACCUUCGAUCUGGUGAUGGGAAGCUGUCUGCUGAGAGAAGACGAUACGUUGGAAUCAUACCCAAACCCAUCAACACAAUAAGGGAUGUGCGACUGUAGCUGAUGUUGAGUCUUCCAAGCCUACCUGUGACGCCUCGCCUGAUAUUACUAGGUGAACGACAAGGUAAUCAUCAAAAGUGGAUGGUCAGCAUUGAAUCCUUAAUCGUUUGUGAAGGGUCCAACCUCGCCACAUUUCUAACAGGGAUUGCGACAUGUUUCUCCACCUUCUAUAUUCUGAAUCUGCAAUAUCAGGAGGAGGCAGCGUGCACCCUUGAAUUCUUCCAGAGAAAAAGGCCCAGAAGAAGCCUAAGAACAAUCACUAAUAAGUAAAGUGAAUGUUACUUGAUUUCUCAUGAAUGUUACUUGAUUCCCUCCCUGAUUAUCAUUUAUACUCAUCUCUUACUUUAAAUUCUUCUGGACAUAAUCUGUCAGUUUAUUAAUUCUCAC